UACGGAGGAUGCGAGCGUUAUCCGGAUUUAUUGGGUUUAAAGGGUGCGUAGGCGGACUAUUAAGUCAGUGGUGAAAGCCUGCAGCUUAACUGCAGAACUGCCAUUGAUACUGAUAGUCUUGAGUUUGGUUAAGGUAGGCGGAAUGUGUAAUGUAGCGGUGAAAUGCUUAGAUAUUACACAGAACACCAAUUGCGUAGGCAGCUUACUGAGCCGACACUGACGCUGAGGCACGAAAGCGUGGGGAUCGAACAGGA
rnacentral:rRNA from 1 species